AUGAUCUCCAGAUACACUCGGAAGGCGGUGCCACAAAGCUUGGAGCUGAAAGGAAUAACAAAACAUGCUAUUAAUCACCAUCCUCUUCCAGAGCAGCUGGAUGAAAUUUCUUCUACCAAUGACAGCCAUGAACAAGACACAAGUUCCCAAAGUGAGUCUGUCAUCACACAAGAAUCACCUUUUACAUCAGCUGACACUGGGAAUUCAAGAUCUGCUUUUCCAAGCUAUACAGGCACAGGGAUCUCUACAGAAGGCAUAUCGGACUUCUCCUGGGCCUAUGGUGAACUUGAUCAAAAUGCCACUGAAGAAGUCCAGGCAAUGUUCACAGCCAUUGAUGAGCUCUUGUAUGAGCAGAAGUUGAGUGUGCAUACUAAGAGUCUACAAGAAGAGGGCCAACAAUGGACAUGUAGCUUUCCUCACUUCAGAAUUCUGGGUAGGCAGAUAAUCACUCCAGGUGAAAGUUAUGGGCUGUAUCCUAGAUCCCCUUCUGUUGUUUCAGCUUCACAUGAGGCAACACUUUCUUAAGAAAGAGAUUCUACUCUAUUUGGUAUUAAGGGAAAGAAGUUACAUUUUUCAUCUUCUUAUGCUCAUAAAGCAUCUUCCAUUGCCAAAUCCCCUAGCUUGUAUUCUAUGGAAAGAGAAGAGAAAGACUGUGUAAUCUUCUCUGAAGGAAUAAUAGAGGAAUACCCAGCAUUAGACCACACUGAUAUGGAAGAGGGGUUUCAAGGAAAGAAAUUACAAGCAGCUCCAAAGAAACAGAAAUUAGGGUACUCUCCCAUUGCUCCAUUUUACUGCAUGAAAGAGGAUGUCCUUGCUCACAUGUUUGACGACGUGUGGAGCAAGGUUCUGAGCUGUAUGGAGCAGCUGACAUGUAGUCAUUGGGAGGGACUGGCUUCUGGUAAGGAUCUUUGUGAAAACAAUAUAAAAAAAUAA